rnacentral:lncRNA from 1 species
AAUUAACUCAAGUCACGAGGCUGUUAGAAGCUUUAGUAGCUUAAUUGCAGCAGGAUAGAGAUAGCAAAGAGGCAAAUGUAGGAAGGUGAUAGGGGAAUUGUCUAGCCUACUACUCAAAGUCUGCUCCGAAGAAAUCUAGCUCAAUCCCCAACAAGCUUCCAAUCUCCGGCCAAAAGAGCGGGAGAGUCUCAGUCUCCAAAGUAGAAGUCCUCCAACACAGAAUAAAUGCCAAGCAGAAGAAUCCAACACAGAGACACCAAUGCAGAGGUCCUCCCUUAGCAAGAGCCAGAAACAGAAGUGACCCAGAAUGCUCUCUGCUGACUUUUAUAAGUAGUUUUCUCCACAUUACUUCCUGUCUCUCUGGUUCCCCUUUCCUUUCACUGUGGGCUGGUCUAUCAUAUCUCAGGAACCAAUCAAAAUUUCUCAAUUUGCCUAGCACUGCCCAGGGGUCAGUGUCUGUGGGAUCCACCUCCCAUCCUCUGAAGGUAUGAAUUUGUAUCAAAAGAAUUCACAAGCUCCUGACUGAUUAAGUUAAAAGGAUGGAGGCUCCAAGUACUUGAUUAAGUUAAGAUUUUUUUUUAAUUCCCUUUCACAAGAGAAAGUGUUAUACUGUUUUAGAGAUAAGCACUCAAGCUAGAGAACUGUCAGGUUGACUCUUGGGGCAAUGCUGACAAGCCCAGUGAGCUCUUCACUCAAUAGUUUUCCUCAUCAUGCAUUCGCCUUUCAGCAUCCUGUUACAGGUAAACUAGGAGCUCCCAGGAAAAUUCCUCAUUCUGGUUUUGGGGCAAUGAAAACAAGCCCAGCCUGCUCAAUGGGAUUCUGCAUUGUUCAAUCAAGUCCAAGCCUCUUCAUUUGGCAAGCACAUCCAAAACUUCUACGUUUUUCCAGCCAGUCCAAAAGGAAGGCCUCCCGAUAGAUGGCGGUGUGUCCCACCCACUCCCCUGUGCGCUGAGUCCAUCCACCCAAAACACGAGCCAGUCUCACCGAUCCACGGCCAGUCCAGAAAAGUCAGGCCCCCGAUCCACGCAAACAGCCCGUGGAACAGAGGUCCCUCAGCAUGGCAUUGCAGAGACCAAUGGAAUCGCAAUGCUGGCUGGUCGUGAUCUCGGAAGACUCGGAAUCGGAGUUAGCCUCCCGGUCAACGAAAGAAUGGGUGCCAUAUGCAGAGUCCAGAGAGGUGUGAGCAGAAGAGGAAGGCGGCUGAACCCCUGGAGUUCUGGGGAUAAAGGCUGAAAACUCAGGACUUCCCUGGGCACCCAAAAUGCUCUUUAAGAAACCCCUACCUGACCAAGGCUGAAUCCAGACCAAAGAAAAGGGGUUUUUAACGUUCUCUCAAUUUUUAUUGGAGUUUUUUCCACAAAAAGAUUAAUAUGGAAAAAUGCUUCAUGUGGAAAUGUUUCAUCUCUGGAGAUUGCUUACCAUCUCAAAGGGGGUGGGUGAGAAUUCAAGCCUCCAUUUUACAUAUAGUUGUGGGAAAAUAAAAUGAAAUUUAGAAAUGAAAAAAAUAAAACC